CGGAGGAAAAGAAACCAACAGGGAUUGCCUCAGUAGCGGCGAGUGAAGCGGCAAGAGCUCAGAUUUGAAAUCGUGCUUUGCGGCACGAGUUGUAGAUUGCAGGUUGGAGUCUGUGUGGAAGGCGGUGUCCAAGUCCCUUGGAACAGGGCGCCCAGGAGGGUGAGAGCCCCGUGGGAUGCCGGCGGAAGCAGUGAGGCCCUUCUGACGAGUCGAGUUGUUUGGGAAUGCAGCUCCAAGCGGGUGGUAAAUUCCAUCUAAGGCUAAAUACUGGCGAGAGACCGAUAGCGAACAAGUACUGUGAAGGAAAGAUGAAAAGCACUUUGAAAAGAGAGUGAAACAGCACGUGAAAUUGUUGAAAGGGAAGGGUAUUGCGCCCGACAUGGGGAUUGCGCACCGCUGCCUCUCGUGGGCGGCGCUCUGGGCUUUCCCUGGGCCAGCAUCGGUUCUUGCUGCAGGAGAAGGGGUUCUGGAACGUGGCUCUUCGGAGUGUUAUAGCCAGGGCCAGAUGCUGCGUGCGGGGACCGAGGACUGCGGCCGUGUAGGUCACGGAUGCGCAAUGACCUGGGG
rnacentral:rRNA from 1 species